UCGGAGAGUUUGAUCCUGGCUCAGGACGAACGCUGGCGGCGUGCCUAAUACAUGCAAGUCGAGCGGACAGAAGGGAGCUUGCUCCCGGAUGUUAGCGGCGGACGGGUGAGUAACACGUGGGUAACCUGCCUGUAAGACUGGGAUAACUCCGGGAAACCGGAGCUAAUACCGGAUAGUUCCUUGAACCGCAUGGUUCAAGGAUGAAAGACGGUUUCGGCUGUCACUUACAGAUGGACCCGCGGCGCAUUAGCUAGUUGGUGGGGUAAUGG
rnacentral:rRNA from 1 species